GGGUUGUGAGGUUAAGCGACUAAGCGUACACGGUGGAUGCCUAGGCAGUCAGAGGCGAUGAAGGGCGUGCUAAUCUGCGAUAAGCGUCGGUAAGCUGAUAUGAAGCGUUAUACCCGACGAUACCCGAAUGGGGAAACCCAGUGUGUUUCGAUACACUAUCAUGACAUGAAUACAUAGUGUCAUGAGGCGAACCGGGGGAACUGAAACAUCUCAGUACCCCGAGGAAAAGAAAUCAACCGAGAUUCCCCCAGUAGCGGCGAGCGAACGGGGAGGAGCCCAGAACCUGAAUCAGUUUGUGUGUUAGUGGAAGCGUCUGGAAAGUCGCACAGUAAAGGG
rnacentral:rRNA from 1 species